ACUCGCCCCGGAUGUGCCGCUGCAGCGCCAGGUACGUGAACUUGUACGGAGCCUCCGUCUGCACCAUUCCCCAGUGCUGCCGCCAAACCAGCUGGAUCGUCUUCGGGACGUCGGUGUCGCAGUCCAGCCCUGCGGACAAGCGCGCUUGGGGAGGGGCUACGGAUGGGGGGAAGGUGCCGGCAGGCAGGGGCGGGGCUGCUGAUGAGGGGCGGGGCUUGCCGGUAGCGGUGGGGUCGUCCUGAGGGGUGGGGUCGUCCUGAGGGGUGGGGUCGUCCGGAGGGGUGGGGUCGCCCGGAGGGGUGGGGCUAUAGCAGGGCAGGGCGGGGGGACCCAGAGUGGAGCGGCUCGCCCUGCCUGCGGAUGACGUCCACCAGGAUGUCAAUCACGAUGAUGGUGCCCGUGCAUCCGAUGCCCCCACUGAGGACAAACUAGGCGGCCUUUGACGAGAGUGGGGGGCGGGGGCGGGGGCGCCCCCGCCCACCCGAUGGCUCCGCCCUCGUCGUCCCGCGUGGCCCCGCCCCGCCGCACCUGCACCUGCACAGCCCGCGUGGCCCCGCCCCGCCGCACCUGCAUCUGCACAGCCCGCGUGGGCCCGCCCCGCCGCAGCUGAAGUGCACCACCAUGGGCCCGGCCCGCGGCUUGCUGCUCUGGGCCCGGUUCACCUCGUCCCGGAAGCCGAGGACGCCGGCGGGAUCGGCCCGGACGCCGUAGUCCGGCCAGCCGAAGUACUGGAAGUGCUGCACCGUACGCUGUGGCUCCUCCUGAGCGGGGCAAGCGCUACCUAAGAGGGAAGGGCCCGCUGUCCUGUGAUCACGUGACUUGCUUCACCUUGUCAAUCACUUAGAAGACUGACCCUCCUUAUCCUGCCCCCUUGUCUUGUAUGCAAUAAAUAUCAGCGAGCCCAGCCGUUCAGGGCCACUACCGGUCUCCGUGUCUUUGUGGUAGUGGUCCCCGGGGCCCAGCUGUUUUCUCUUUA
rnacentral:lncRNA from 1 species